rnacentral:rRNA from 1 species
GAUGAACGCUGGCGGCGUGCCUAAUACAUGCGAGUCGAGCGAACGGACGAGAAGCUUGCUUCUCUGAUGUUAGCGGCGGACGGGUGAGUAACACGUGGAUAACCUACCUAUAAGACUGGGAUAACUUCGGGAAACCGGAGCUAAUACCGGAUAAUAUUUUGAACAGCAUGGUUCAAAAGUGAAAGACGGUCUUGCUGUCACUUAUAGAUGGAUCCGCGCUGCAUUAGCUAGUUGGUAAGGUAACGGCUUACCAAGGCAACGAUGCAUAGCCGACCUGAGAGGGUGAUCGGCCACACUGGAACUGAGACACGGUCCAGACUCCUACGGGAGGCAGCAGUAGGGAAUCUUCCGCAAUGGGCGAAAGCCUGACGGAGCAACGCCGCGUGAGUGAUGAAGGUCUUCGGAUCGUAAAACUCUGUUAUUAGGGAAGAACAUAUGUGUAAGUAACUGUGCACAUCUUGACGGUACCUAAACAGAAAGCCACGGCUAACUACGUG